UACGAAGGGGGGCUAGCGUUGCUCGGAAUUACUGGGCGUAAAGCGCACGUAGGCGGCUUUCUAAGUCAGGGGUGAAAUCCUGGAGCUCAACUCCAGAACUGCCUUUGAUACUGGAAAGCUUGAGUUCGGGAGAGGUGAGUGGAACUGCGAGUGUAGAGGUGAAAUUCGUAGAUAUUCGCAAGAACACCAGUGGCGAAGGCGGCUCACUGGCCCGGUACUGACGCUGAGGUGCGAAAGCGUGGGGGAGCAAACAG
rnacentral:rRNA from 1 species